rnacentral:rRNA from 1 species
GAUCGGAGUCUGCAACCCGACUCCGUGAAGCUGGAUUCGCUAGUAAUCGCGCAUCAGCCAUGGCGCGGUGAAUACGUUCCCGGGCCUUGUACACACCGCCCGUCAAGCCAUGGAAGCCGGGGGCGCUUGAAGUGCGUUGCCGCAAGGCGCGCCCUAGAGCGAAACCGGUGACUGGGGCUAAGUCGUAACAAGGUAAC